rnacentral:RNase_P_RNA from 1 species
GUAAGCUGGACAGCCGCGCGGGCGGGGCGAAAGGCCUGCACGUGAGGAAAGUCCGGGCUCCAUAGGGCAAGGAUAACGGGUAACACCCGCCGGGGGCGACCCCAGGAAAAGUGCAACAGAGAUAAACCGCCGCGCACCGGCGCGGUAAGGGUGGAAAGAUGGAGGUAAGAGACCAUCCGACGGCGUGGAAGCGUCCGUCGCUGUAAACUCUAUCCGGAGCAACGCCGUGGAGGAGCAUGUGGUUGGCCCGACCGCUCCGAGGAGGCGGCUGGAGCACGCCGGCAACAGCGUGCCUAGAUAGAUGGCUGUCUUAAAGGACAGAACCCGGCUUACAGGCUUGCUUG